rnacentral:rRNA from 1 species
GAUGAACGCUGGCGGCGUGCCUAAUACAUGCAAGUCGAGCGAACGGACGAGAAGCUUGCUUCUCUGAUGUUAGCGGCGGACGGGUGAGUAACACGUGGAUAACCUACCUAUAAGACUGUGAUAACUUCGGGAAACCGGAGCUAAUACCGGAUGAUAUUUUGAACCGCAUGGUUCAAAAGUGAAAGACGUUCUUGCUGUCACUUAUAGAUGUAUCCGCGCUGCAUUAUCUAGUUGGUAAGGUAACGGCUUACCAAGGCAACGAUGCAUAGCCGACCUGAGAGGGGGAUCGGCCACACGGGAAAUGAGAACGGGCCCAGACUCCUACGGGAGGAAGAGGUGGGGAAUCUUCAGAAAGGGGCGAAAGCCUGACGGAGAAACGCCGCGUGAGGGAAGAAGGUUUUCGGUUGUUAAAGCUCUGUUGUUAGGGAAGAACAUAGGUGUAGUAAAAAGUGCAGAAAGAGACGGUACCUAACCAGAAAGCCACGGCUAACUACGUG